UACGUAGGGGGCGAGCGUUGUCCGGAAUGACUGGGCGUAAAGGGCGUGUAGGCGGUCAUUUAAGUUUGGAGUGAAAGUCCUGCCUUCAAGGUGGGAAUUGCUUUGAAGACUGGAUGACUUGAGUGCGGAAGAGGUAAGUGGAAUUCCCAGUGUAGCGGUGAAAUGCGUAGAGAUUGGGAGGAACACCAGUGGCGAAGACGACUUACUGGGCCGUAACUGACGCUGAGGCGCGAAAGCGUGGGGAGCGAAC
rnacentral:rRNA from 1 species